rnacentral:lncRNA from 1 species
UUUUGCAACACACCAUCAAACUAUUCAUGUUAAGUCUAGAAAGCGAUAAAGUGUACCUUGAAAUACCGACAACUAAUUCUUAUCAUCACCACUCGAAGUGUCCUACGCUUCCUUCUUUGCAAGCAUUACUUGGUUCCUUCAAGCUUAACUUAAUAAUAAGAAAAAUUAAACAAACAAAUGGGGCAUACCAAAGUUCAUUGCAACACACAAUUAAAUCUCACAAAAAUAUCCAUGCAAUUAACAAAACCAAAGUUUACGGUGAAACGAGAGCCACCAAAAGUACAACCAUAAUUAAAACAUAAAAAUAAUAAUAAUAAAAAGCUAAAAAUAAAAAUCUAAUACUACUCAAAACAAAGUCUUCAAUCCUCCUCAUCAUGUCCACCACCUACGGAUCCAAGGACAUCUUCCAUGUCAUCAUCAUGGGCCGCACC